rnacentral:rRNA from 1 species
UGGGGAAUAUUGCACAAUGGGGGAAACCCUGAUGCAGCGACGCCGCGUGAACGAAGAAGGUAUUCGUAUCGUAAAGUUCUGUCCUAUGGGAAGAUAAUGACAGUACCAUAGAAGAAAGCUCCGGCUAACUACGUGCCAGCAGCCGCGGUAAUACGUAUGGAGCGAGCGUUGUCCGGCAUUAUUGGGCGUCAAUGGUACGCAGGCGGUUUAAUAAGUCGAAUGUUAAAGAUCGGGGCUCAACCCCGCAAAGCAUUGGAAACUGAUAAACUUGAGUAGUGGAGAGGAAAGUGGAAUUCCUAGUGUAGUGGUGAAAUACGUAGAUAUUAGGAGGAAUACCAGUAGCGAAGGCGACUUUCUGGACACAAACUGACGCUGAGGUACGAAAGCGUGGGGAGAAAACAGG